rnacentral:piRNA from 1 species
UUAUGAUGCCACAAGGGUAGAAGCUA